rnacentral:rRNA from 1 species
UACGUAGGGUGCGAGCGUUAAUCGGAAUUACUGGGCGUAAAGCGUGCGCAGGCGGUUUUGCAAGCCAGAUGUGAAAGCCCCGGGCUUAACCUGGGAAUGGCAUUUGGGACUGCAAGGCUUGAGUGCGGCAGAGGAGACUGGAAUUCCUGGUGUAGCAGUGAAAUGCGUAGAUAUCAGGAGGAAUACCGAUGGCGAAGGCAGGUCUCUGGGCUGACACUGACGCUCAUGCACGAAAGCGUGGGGAGCAAACAGG